rnacentral:rRNA from 1 species
GAUGAACGCUGGCGGCGUGCCUAAUACAUGCAAGUCGAGCGAACAGACGAGGAGCUUGCUCCUCUGACGUUAGCGGCGGACGGGUGAGUAACACGUGGAUAACCUACCUAUAAGACUGGGAUAACUUCGGGAAACCGGAGCUAAUACCGGAUAAUAUAUUGAACCGCAUGGUUCAAUAGUGAAAGACGGUUUUGCUGUCACUUAUAGAUGGAUCCGCGCCGCAUUAGCUAGUUGGUAAGGUAACGGCUUAACAAGGCAACGAUGCGUAGCCGACCUGAGAGGGUGAUCGGCCACACUGGAACUGAGACACGGGCCAGACUCCUACGGGAGGCAGCAGUAGGGAAUCUUCCGCCAUGGGCGAAAGCUUGACGGAGCACCGCCGCGUGAGGGAUAAAGGUCUUCGGAUCUUAAAACUCUGUUAUUAGGGAAGAACAAAUGUGUAAGUAACUAUGCACGUCUUGACGGUACCUAAUCAGAAAGCCACGGCUAACUACGUG